AUCACCAGUUAUAAGAAUCACUUCCAAGCAAUAUUUUGCAAGAUCUAGCAGCUGCCCAGGUAUAAUUGGUUUGACAACCAUUGAGCAACAUACAUUUUACGUCAGGAUCAGCAUGGAGCAGCUUCUGCUUUUUCAGCUGUUAGCAAAGGAAGAAGAAGCAGGAAAAAAGAUAGGAAGGAGAGAACAAAAGCAGGAAGGAAAAGAAGAGAAAAGAAAAGACUUUGUCAUGGGUUCAGG
rnacentral:lncRNA from 1 species